rnacentral:rRNA from 1 species
GACGUAGGGGGCGAGCGUUGUCCGGAUUUAUUGGGCGUAAAGAGCGUGUAGGCGGCCAGGUAGGUCUGCUGUGAAAACUCGAGGCUUAACCUCGAGCUGUCGGCGGAAACCAUCUGGCUAGAGUCCGGAAGAGGAGAAUGGAAUUCCCGGUGUAGCGGUGAAAUGCGCAGAUAUCGGGAAGAACACCCGUGGCGAAGGCGGUUCUCUGGGACGGUACUGACGCUGAGACGCGAAAGCGUGGGGAGCGAACAGG